GACAAAUUGCACAUUAUAGUUUGUGGUUGAUAUUUGAAAAGUUGUGUUUAAAAAUACCUGAAAUACUUUGAGGUGUGAGUUGCAAAUGUGAAUGUCAUUAUUCUACUACUCAAUUUCCAAGCAGGGUGCUGCCCACAGAAGAGUAACUCGCAGGAAACUCAACGCAAGGUCCGGCCUACUUUAACCCAUGUCCUCCGCCCGCUUUAUAGAUGAAUAGAUGGAGAAACUUUAGACCUCAGUCAGGGAAAAAAGUCAUCCUAAUAGCACUCUGAAUUAUUGAUGAAAGCCAGAUUUCUGCUCUGUUAAUAAUACAUACAGAUGUUGACUUUUGUGAUGAUGCUCUAAGUGUUGAAACUGGAUAUCCUGGUUUUCUGAUGCUUAUUUUAGGAGAGAAACAUCUUCUAUUUGUACCAGCGAUUAACCUCAGCCACGAGGUCAGACCGUGUCAGAUCAACAAAAGUGCCUCGGUGCUUAUUUCUCUUCGUCUUUAGCUGCUAACAUCACGGUGUUUGGGUGACAGUGAGCCACAUCUCAUAUUUUGCGUCCAAGGAGCCAGACAUUCUUGUAAUAUUUUAAAGUGGUCUCAAAAAAAAAAAAAAAGUCAGACAUGGACAGCAACAUUUUAAUUAGGUGUGACUAACACUUAAUUGACUAUUUAUUUGUUGAUGAAAACAAACAUUUUAGAAUUAUAUCUUUCUAAGUCAUUAGGAGGCACUCAGCUGGUCUCAGCAGAUGAUAAAUCAAACUGACUCAAGUACAUCUAAGAUCUACUUUUGCCUAAAUAAAUAAAUAAAUAAAAUGAAAAUAAAACAAUACUUGACAUUUAAAAAAAAAAAGAAAAAAAAAGUGGUCUUGAGUAAUAGUUCUCCAGGCUUUCUGAUGGUCUUACAAAGAUCCUCUUUGGAAACUGGUUGUCUAAUUUUAGACUGCAUCUAUAGGCACUUUGCUACAAACAGCCUCUUGCAAAAACAGACUUGUUCCCAUAGCUUUAGUUGAAUCUAUGAAAAAAGUCAAUGAUAACACAGUUUGAUAGGCAUAUCCUCCUGAGACCCAGCCUGUUCAUUCAAGUCCUUUGUAGUGGACACAAAUCACAAUAAAAGUUAAACUGAAAAAUGCUUUCAUUUCCUCCAUUCUCAGGAGGAUGUAAUAGUGUUGCACCAACAAGGUGAUUCCCAAGUUAACUCGCGACGAUGACCAGGGCAUGUUGCGUCGGACCCCUUUUUCCAACACACACGUCCGGUACCACGUCACAACAAAUACGUCAUUUCCUGUUGAUUAAAAAAAAAAAAGCACCCUCAAACGGUCCUAGGGGCCGAAAAUGGUCCCGCCCGAUCAGCGGGCGAAGCCGCUGCUGCACGCCGGAAAUGAGGCUUCGUUUCCCGCAGGUCUGUUUAAGCAGCCCGCUGUUUUCCAGCCCGGGGUCAAAUGUGGAGCAAGGGCGCCACCCGGUGGACAAAUAAAAAAAUUACAACUCUAAGGCCAGUACUGCAAACGGAAACGGAAACAUAACCGAUCACGAUCGAUUUGACCGUAAUUUUUUUGCCGUGAAAAAUAGCGUUUAUAAUGGUUUUCAAUGGG
ensembl:lncRNA